rnacentral:rRNA from 1 species
CGACCGGCGCACGGUGAGUAACGCGUAUGCAACUUACCUAUCAGAGGGGGAUAGCCCGGCGAAAGUCGGAUUAAUACCCCAUGAAACAGGGGUCCCGCAUGGGAAUAUUUGUUAAAGAUUCAUCGCUGAUAGAUAGGCAUGCGUUCCAUUAGGCAGUUGGCGGGGUAACGGCCCACCUAGUCAACGAUGGAUAGGGGUUCUGAGAGGAAGGUCCCCCACAUUGGAACUGAGACACGGUCCAA